rnacentral:tRNA from 1 species
GCGCCCGUAGUUCAGUGGAUAGAACACGUGGUUGCGGACCACGAGGUCAGAGGUUCAAAUCCUCUCGGGCGCACCA